rnacentral:rRNA from 1 species
UGUGUAGGCGGCUAGCUAAGUAGGGUGUGAAAGGCCUCGGCCUAACCGAGGCAUUGCGCUCUAAACUGACUGGCUUGAGUAAGAUAGGGGUGUGCGGAACUUCCAGUGGAGCGGUGAAAUGUGUUGAUAUUGGAAGGAACGCCGGUGGCGAAAGCGGCACACUGGGUCUUUACUGACGCUGAGACACGAAAGCCAGGGUAGCGAACG